UACGUAGGGUGCAAGCGUUAAUCGGAAUUACUGGGCGUAAAGCGUGCGCAGGCGGUUUUGUAAGUCUGUCGUGAAAUCCCCGGGCUCAACCUGGGAAUUGCGAUGGAGACUGCAAGGCUAGAAUCUGGCAGAGGGGGGUAGAAUUCCACGUGUAGCAGUGAAAUGCGUAGAGAUGUGGAGGAACACCGAUGGCGAAGGCAGCCCCCUGGGUCAAGAUUGACGCUCAUGCACGAAAGCGUGGGGAGCAAACAAGG
rnacentral:rRNA from 1 species